CUAUUUGAAUGAAAAUAUCGCAACAUUAAAAAUAUGAUAUACGAAGUUAAAAACUAUCUAAACGGAUAUCUUGCUGCAUCAAACUGUGAAAAUUAAUCAUUUCGAUUUGAUAUCUGUAGAAAUAAAGCUCGUAAACGUGAAAAUAUAUUUGUAAGGAAAAUGUUCGUGCGCCCGCGUACGAUUAUUUUUCAUAUAAAUGUAUUAUUUUCGAUGUUAGUGCGAGGAAAGUAUUGAUUUUGAAGUUUCUGCUUUUAGAAAGAGAGAGAGUAACCAUCCGAUUCGUUGAAAGGUCCGUUUUUGUUGACAGUCCAUCGCUCGUUGUUUUAUGUUGGUUUACGCCAACGAUAAAUAUAGGUAUAAUUUUUUAACGAUUUUGACGAACGAGAUCGCUUCGAAGACGAAUAUUCGAGUGAGAAUACGAUUCUUCCGAACUUUCGAAUACGCGCUUCGUUUUGUUUGAAAAAAUCGUGUCAAAAAAUGAUGUUUUCUCGACGAUAAUUCGUGGAUGAAAGUAAUAUAAUAAAAUAAGGUUAAUUUUAAAACGUUUAAAUCGUCGUUAUAGCAGUCUCGUUACGCGCACGUAAGUUUGCUGUUUUUGAAUACAUACAAGAGGCUCUUCGUAGAAAGAGAAAGAUAACAUUAGCAUAUAGAUAAUAGCUGAAAGGUUCCUCUAUCUAUUGUUUCCGGUAAACAACGAAAGAAAAAUCGGUCGAGCGUGAUAAAUUGUUGUUACUACGUGUAUAUAUAUAUACGUCGUACGUGUAUACAAUUCGGAGAAUUGGGGAAGUCUUGUAGUGAAAAGUAUUUGUAAAUAAACAAGGGACGUUCGGAGAGAUCAACCUUGGCACGACUUUCCCACAUUCGUCGUCCUUACUAAGGCAUUGUUAGUACGCAGUAUUCGUUCCUCUGAGCAUCUUUCCGGACGUGUUUUAUCUGGACAACGAACGAGUCUAACAACGCUUGCAUCGUGUUUGGAAAAAACAGAGCAAGUUCUACUGAUAGAACAAUUCUAGUAUGUGAUAGGUAAGAAAUGUAUCAUUAACUUUAAGAAAUAAUAUAUAUUCAAGAAAGUCAUAAGCAUGAGGCGGGUCGAACUAGAAAAUUAAAAAAACUUAUUAGGGGAAAGAAAAAAAAGAAAAAAACUAUAAAAACAAAUUUUCUUUGCUUUUAUCUUCUCUUAUACUAUUUAUAUGAUUAAGUUGUAAAAAAAUAUUGUAAUGUUAAAUACAUUUUAUUUUGUUAUAUAUUUAUUUAUCAAAAAAGAACGAGAUACAUGAAGUGAAUAUAUGUAUAUGUAUGUAUACUGAGCCUUGAAUGUAUUUCCCUGGUAUUCAAGCAUUCAUUGUUACAAACGUAUAUUAUAUAUGUGUAUAACUGAAUAAAACAAGCAUAUUGUACAAAGCUCAAUUUGCUUGAUUAUUUUCUAUAAUAUUAUGAUUUUUGUGAUAUAAUAUACUCGUAAUUGCAUGUCAUCGUCAUCACUAUUAUUAUUUUAUUAUUAUUAUUAUUUAUUUAUUAUUAUUACUAUUAUUAUUAUUAUUAUUACUAUUAUUAUUACUAUUACUAUUAUUAUUAUUAUUAUUAUUAUUAUUAUUAUUAUUAUUAUUAUUAUAUCCAUUAUAAUUGCUUUUAUUAUUGUUAUUAUAUUUGAUAUCAAUAUUAUACUUCCUUUGUAAAUAUAAUAGCACACAUUAUCUUAUAAAAGUAAUUUCUAAAGCAUAUCAACUAACUGUUAUAUAAAGAAAAGUAUUUUUCUCGAAAAUCUCGAAAAUAUGGGGUCCAGUUUCGAGUUGAAAUGCUGACAUUCACAAAGAUUCACCACACAGUUUUGUCCAAUUCUAGUACUUUGUUAUUAUAACAAAACUUCUGUAUAUAAUGAUACAUAAAAACCGAUUCUAAGAGCAUACUGUUAAAAUCCAAAAGUAAAAAGUA